AAGACUAUACUUUCAGAGGUCAUUUAUAUAGUUUGUAUUAGAGAAGGUUCUCUGUAUGUGUAGAGCACAUACAGGAGGUGCAGUGUUCUCUCCCGAGCUUCAUGAAGUCAGCUCUUGGUGUUGUUUCGCUACAACUACCAUUUGCCAGUGAUGAUCGUUCUUCUCUUCCUUUUUGGAGAGCAAGAGGGAGAGGACAGUCUGA
rnacentral:snoRNA from 1 species